UUCCAGACUCCUACGGGAGGCAGCAGUGAGGAAUAUUGGUCAAUGGGCGCGAGCCUGAACCAGCCAAGUAGCGUGAAGGAUGACUGCCCUACGGGUUGUAAACUUCUUUUAUAAAGGAAUAAAGUGAGGCACGUGUGCCUUUUUGUAUGUACUUUAUGAAUAAGGAUCGGCUAACUCCGUGCCAGCAGCCGCGGUAAUACGGAGGAUCCGAGCGUUAUCCGGAUUUAUUGGGUUUAAAGGGAGCGUAGGCCGGUCUUUAAGCGCGCCGUGAAAUUUUGUGGCUCAACCAUGAGAGUGCGGCGCGAACUGGAGACCUUGAGUGCGCGGAAGGCAGGCGGAAUUCGUGGUGUAGCGGUGAAAUGCUUAGAUAUCACGAAGAACUCCGAUUGCGAAGGCAGCCUACUAAACUGCCACUGACAGUGAUGCUCGAAAGUGUGGGUAUCAAACAGGAUUAGAUACCCGGGUACAC
rnacentral:rRNA from 1 species